CAGGCGAAAAUAAGAAGAAAAACAUGUGAUACAGACUUUAACGUUCACGUGUAUGUGUGUGUGUGAGUGUGUCUGUGUGUGCCCGCAGUAGCUGCUAAUAGUUGAUUGACUUCUUUGGAGCGCCGCUGCUUGGGCAGCAAGAGGAAGGGAGAUAAAAAUGCCGCCUGCCUGUGUUAAGUGUUGUCAGUUUUCCUGGCAAUUGCCAGCAGAAUUGUUAGUUGUAAUUAUAACUAUUAAUGCUUAAGUCCCAAUACAACAAACAUUAGCAAACUUCUAACCGCCACUGUGUAUUGGGGCAGAAAAGGCAUCCGCGUCUGUGUGUUUGCAACACUCUAGUUAUCUCGUUUUAACGCACAUGGCAACGCAUUUGAGCAGUGUCGUCGAGCGCGCGCGCUUUUUAGUCAAAUGCUAGAAACGCUGGUUUGCUGUCUAGUGCUUUGCAUUUUGAGCAGCCGCAGCAUUUUAAUUAAUUGAAGUAUUUUUAAUUAAAUAAGCAGCCAGCAACAAUACAAUUUCCGACUGUGAUGGUGUGAGUAGUUAAGAUAGUAGCGGUGAGCGUGCGUGCGUAUGCCUCUCAGAGGCGCACACACACAUACAUGCAUACAUAUGUAUGUACAUACAUACAUACACAUGCGCACAAAAGCAUGAGUAAUGCUAGUGCAAAAUUUUUUCUUUCUGCACUAUCAGGCAGAGUUGCCUGCCCUUAAAUGCGAGAAAAUUCUUUAACGAAAAACAAAAUAAAUAAAAUGAGCAACUUAUUUGCAUAAAAACCAAAUAAAGAAAAAUAUUUGAAGUCUGGCUGCAGUCGCCGAUCGUUUUGUUUCUUCAGCGGCGACUACUUUUGCGCCAGUCACACAAUCGAUUCAUUCAUCGAUUUUUCACAGCACGGCAUGAUGAUGAUGACGACGUCGCCGCCGCCGCCUUGCUGCGCUGCUGCGCAACAAAAGCACAUUUUGAGUGGCGAUUAAAUUGAGCGAAAGGAACAAGAGAACAAGAAAAAGUUAAGGAUUUUCCUUAGAAAAAGUUUGACUUGGCAACAGAAAAGUUUUUACAAAAACAGCCCUUAGCAACGAUGUCAUUUCCCCCGCCGUCGCGCAGCCCCCUGCACGCCUAUCAACGAGCACUAAAUACACAAAAUUUCAACUUGAAAAUUCCCCCACCAUCCUAUAAAUUUUCUUUAAGAGUUCAGUACCUACAUAUACAAAUGUACAUAUAAUAUAAUACGCAACAAAUCUGGGUUUUUGCAAAAGCCAACUCAAUAACGAAAACCACGCGAAUUUUUGCCGGUAAAAA